rnacentral:rRNA from 1 species
UAAAAUAAGAAGGGUCCAGCCUGCCCAGUGACAAAUGUUCAACGGCCGCGGUAUCCUAACCGUGCGAAGGUAGCGUAAUCACUUGUUCUUUAAAUGAGGACUAGUAUGAAUGGCACCACGAGGGUUGCACUGUCUCCUUUCCCUAAUCAAUGAAACUAAUCUCCCCGUGAAGAAGCGGGGGUACUAAUAUAAGACGAGAAGACCCUAUGGAGCUUUAAAUUUCUCUUCAAACGCCAGACACAAACAUCUGACACUUUACAUUAACCCGACGCCUUGAAGAUGAAUUUUAGGUUGGGGUGACCAUGGAGAACAAAAUAACCUCCACGCUGAAAAGGCCUCCAAGCCUUGAGCCAAGGGCUACAACCCAACGCACUAAAAAAUUAACACCCAUUGACCCAAUAUUUUUGAUCAACGAACCAAGUUACCCUAGGGAUAACAGCGCAAUCUACUUCAAGAGUCCCUAUCGACAAGUGGGUUUACGACCUCGAUGUUGGAUCAGGGUAUCCCAGUGGUGCAGCCGCUACUAAAGGUUCGUUUGUUCAACGAUUAAAACCCUACGUGAUCUGAUUUCCAAACCGG